rnacentral:tRNA from 1 species
UGGCCACUACUCUCAACAGGUAAGAGAAGCUCUCUCAUAAGGAGAAGGUUCCCGGUUCGAGUCCGGGGUGGCCGACCA